AAGUCCAACUCUUCCUCCCUGGCUAUAUUUUUUCUCCUACACAUGUAUGUGAGUAUCCAAUUCCUCUUAAUCUAAAAUCGGCCUAAACUCCUUUUCUGCUAUAUUUGGUGAGGGUUAAAAAAAAACCAGAACACUUUCUUCCCCUCCACUUUGUGUUCAUCAAUUAUUUCACCGCAGGGGCAGUGCAAGUUCUGCUACAACCUUCUCCCCCAAUAUCACUCCCUUUUGAAUUAUUUUUUCUCUGGAAGUUGCCCUCUUUCCCUCCUGUUGUCUUCUAGAAAUCUGCUAUUUGGGGGACUGUCCCUGAUCUUGGCCCCCUCACCAUGUGUAUAAUGACUUUAAACUCAUUGGAAUAAUCUUCUCCCUAGAAUUUCCCCUCCAUCUCCCAUUAUGUUGUAGCCUAGGAAGGCUUUAUUCGGGUCGAGAAGAUAUUCCAGUUCCUGUUUCAAGCACAUAUAUCACCCCUUUAAACUCCUUGGAGCUAUUCCACCCUGUAGGGGUUAAACUUCAGGUAUCCCAAAACUUGCUGCCUCUACAUGUCGUCCCAGUCAUUGACACACGUAUUUUCUGGGCUCCCAACAUUACUCGGGGCCAUGAUGGGGCUGCUUUAAAUUGUGCCAAUUCCACGUGUCCACUUUAAACUCAUGUGAGCGCGCACACAUACACACACCACUGCGUCUGUAGUCUGCCUUAUCGGAUCCCUCCGCCAGGUUUUAUAUGCUACUAAUAUACUACUUGGGGCCAUGACAGGAGUACCCCCAAAUCCUGCUGCAGGGGCCCUCUUCAAACUGAUCUACGCAGCACUGCCCUCCUUAGGCUCAGCCCCGGGCUCUGUUCAGGCUGCUGCUGCCCGGGCGCUGGGCUGCGCUCUGGGUGUGUGACUUCCGGAGAGCCCAAUGGCGGGGAGCGAGGGGGGGCGAUUACGACAGGCUCGAGCUCGGCACGAGCGCGGCCGGCGUGAGGAAUUGUGGUCUCCUCUCCCCGGGUCACCAGAAUCCCCACAGUCCUUGGAGAUGAGGAGCGCCGGAAGAUUGUGGCCUGGCCAUCCCUUACGUCAUGAAAGUGAUUUGUGCCACAUUGCUAAUUUGGUGCAAUCCAUAACCUUCUGAUCUCCUGUGUUUGUAAUUGCUUUUCAGCUUGCAGAAUAUGUUUUCUCUGACAUAGUUCUUGAAUAAAGAAAUUACUAUCGCUCACCUGUAUCUAAGAAAUGAUCUUCCCCAAUGUUUGUUGCUUUACCUUUUUCUAAUUAAAAAUGCACACUUUAGGAUCCUUUCAGAACAAAGCUUUGCCAAAUCCCCUUUACAUCCAAGGAUUUGAAAAUUUAUAAAGGCUGCAUUGAAUUCAGGAUGGGUCAAGGGGCAAAAAAAGGGUAGAAGGUCACUGCAUAUUGAUUGUGGGUCAGUAGACAACAUGGCAUGUAGUAUGUGUCCAAAACAUCCCCUUAAAAACUGUAUUUAAAAAACAAGAUUAUCAACAUCUGCUGUGUUAUUUUGUGAUUUUACUGAAUUCCAGAAAUUUCUGGUGUCUGUGAUACAUCCACAUGGGAAAAUAAAACUUACAAAAUGCUGAACAGAACUAUAUAUUGUUGCUUUGUUUACAUGGAAAUAACUCAGUUGUGAUGUUAUGUUUGAUAAAUUAUUCUGAUUUUUUUACUAUUAGUUCGCAAUUAAUUGGCCCAGGUUUUUGGAUAAUUUAGUUGUGCAUUCUUAUGUUUGACAUAUUAGAAUUUAUGGCAAAUUUUAAGCACUGAAGUCACCUUAGGUUGACUUUAAAAUAGCAGAAGGACCCUAGUAUACUAUUCUUUGACCCUGUUACUGGACUCUUUGUGAUAUCCUCUGUUUUCUGUUUGCAUCCCCUAUGAGCACAAUAUGCACAGUGUAUCUAAAACUGGUGAACAAGGUUAUUUCUCAUUUAAAUGAUCUAUUUCUGCAUAAAAACUGUGAAAAUAAAAGGUGUAUUUAAUGCUGUCA